UACGUAGGGUGCGAGCGUUAAUCGGAAUUACUGGGCGUAAAGGGUGCGUAGGUGGCCUAUUAAGUUAUUUGUGAAAGCCCUGGGCUUAACCUGGGAAUGUCGGAUGAUACUGAUGGGCUUGAGUACGGGAGAGGGUAGUGGAAUUUCCGGUGUAGCGGUGAAAUGCGUAGAUAUCGGAAGGAACACUGGUGGCGAAGGCGGCUACCUGGCCUGAUACUGACACUGAGGCACGAAAGCGUGGGUAGCGAACAGG
rnacentral:misc_RNA from 1 species